AGCGAACGCUGGCGGCAGGCCUAACACAUGCAAGUCGAACGGACCCUUCGGGGUUAGUGGCGGACGGGUGAGUAACACGUGGGAACGUGCCUUUAGGUUCGGAAUAGCUCCUGGAAACGGGUGGUAAUGCCGAAUGUGCCCUUCGGGGGAAAGAUUUAUCGCCUUUAGAGCGGCCCGCGUCUGAUUAGCUAGUUGGUGAGGUAAAGGCUCACCAAGGCGACGAUCAGUAGCUGGUCUGAGAGGAUGACCAGCCACAUUGGGACUGAGACACGGCGCAAACUCCUACGGGAGGCAGCAGUGGGGAAUCUUGCGCAAUGGGCGAAAGCGUGACGCAGCCAUGCCGCGUGAAUGAUGAAGGUCUUAGGAUUGUAAAAUUCUUUCACCGGGGACGAUAAUGACGGUACCCGGAGAAGAAGCCCCGGCUAACUUCGUGCCAGCCGCCGCAGUAAGAC
rnacentral:rRNA from 1 species